rnacentral:rRNA from 1 species
GGGGGGGGGGGGGGGGGGGGGGGGGGCGGGGGGGGGGGGGGGAGGGGUGGGGAGCUUGCUCCCCGGGCGUUAGCGGCGGGCGGGUGAGUAACACGUGGAUACCCUCCCUCUAAGACUGGGAUACCUUCGGGAAACCGGAGCUAAUACCCGAUCAUAUCCUGCACCUCAUUGUUCCAUCAUUGAAGACGGUUUUGCUGGCACUUAUAGAUGGUUCCGCGCCGCAUUAGCUAGUUGGUAAGGUAACGGCUUACCACGGCAACGAUGCGUAGCCGACCUGAGAGGGUGAUCGGACACACUGGAACUGAGACACGGUCCAGACUCCUACGGGAGGCAGCAGUAGGGAAGCUUCCGCAAUGGGCGAAAGCCUGACGGAGCAACGCCGCGUGAGUGAUGAAGGUCUUCGGAUCGUAAAACUCUGUUAGUAGGGAAGAACAAAUGUGUAAGUAACUAUGCACGUCUUGACGGUACCUAAUCAGAAAGCCACGGCUAACUACGUG